GACGAACCACACAAACGUUAUUCGGAAUUACUGGGCUUAAAGGGUGCGUAGGCGGCGCGGAAAGUUGGGUGUGAAAUCCCUCGGCUCAACCGAGGAACUGCGCCCAAAACUACCGUGCUCGAGGGAGAUAGAGGUGAGCGGAACUUAGGGUGGAGCGGUGAAAUGCGUUGAUAUCCUAAGGAACACCCGUGGCGAAAGCGGCUCACUGGGACGGUACUGACGCUGAGACGCGAAAGCGUGGGGAGCGAACAGG
rnacentral:rRNA from 1 species